GUUGACCUCGGAUCAGGUAGGGAUACCCGCUGAACUUAAGCAUAUCAAUAAGCGGAGGAAAAGAAACCAACAGGGAUUGCCCUAGUAACGGCGAGUGAAGCGGCAACAGCUCAAAUUUGAAAUCUGGCGCAAGCCCGAGUUGUAAUUUGUAGAGGAUGCUUCUGGGUAGCGGCCGGUCUAAGUUCCUUGGAACAGGACGUCACAGAGGGUGAGAAUCCCGUAUGUGACCGGCGCGCACCCUCCACGUAGCUCCUUCGACGAGUCGAGUUGUUUGGGAAUGCAGCUCUAAAUGGGAGGUAAAUUUCUUCUAAAGCUAAAUACCGGCCAGAGACCGAUAGCGCACAAGUAGAGUGAUCGAAAGAUGAAAAGCACUUUGGAAAGAGAGUUAAAAAGCACGUGAAAUUGUUGAAAGGGAAGCGCCUGCAACCAGACUUCGCGGCAGUGUUCCGCCGGUCUUCUGACCGGUUCACUCUCUGCCGCGAGGCCAUCAUCGUCUGGGGCCGCCGGAUAAGACUGGAGGAAUGUAGCUCCCCUCGGGGAGUGUUAUAGCCUCCGGUGAUGCGGCGCGUCCCGGGCGAGGUCCGCGCUUCGGCAAGGAUGAUGGCGUAAUGGUUGUCGGCGGCCCGUCUUGAAACACGGACCAAGGAGUCUAACAUCUAUGCGAGUGUUCGGGUGUCAAACCCCUACGCGUAAUGAAAGUGAACGGAGGUGGGAACUUUUUGUGCACCAUCGACCGAUCCUGAUGUCCUCGGAUGGAUUUGAGUAAGAGCAUAGCUGUUGGGACCCGAAAGAUGGUGAACUAUGCCUGAAUAGGGUGAAGCCAGAGGAAACUCUGGUGGAGGCUCGCAGCGGUUCUGACGUGCAAAUCGAUCGUCAAAUUUGGGUAUAGGGGCGAAAGACUAAUCGAACCAUCUAGUAGCUGGUUCCUGCCGAA
rnacentral:rRNA from 1 species